AGUUUCGAAUCAUUCACAAUGGGCGAAAGCCUGAUGGUGCGACGCCGCGUGAGGGACGAAGGCCUUCGGGUUGUAAACCUCCGUCACCGGGGAAGAAACGCUAUGAGCUAACAGUUCAUAGCCUGACUUAACCCGGAGAGGAAGCAGUGGCUAACUCUGUGCCAGCAGCCGCGGUAAUACAGAGACUGCAAGCGUUAUUCGGAUUCACUGGGCGUAAAGGGUGCGCAGGCGGCCAUGUGUGUCUGGUGUGAAAUCCCGGGGCUUAACUCCGGAAUUGCGCCGGAAACUACAUGGCUAGAGCAUUGGAGAGGGUAGCGGAAUUCACGGUGUAGCAGUGAAAUGCGUAGAUAUCGUGAGGAACACCAGAGGCGAAGGCGGCUACCUGGACAAUUGCUGACGCUCAGGCACGAAAGCGUGGGGAGCGAAAGGGAUUAGAUACCCCUGUAGUCCACGCCCUAAACGGUGCACACUAGGUCUUGGAGGAUUCGACCCCUUCAGGGCCCAAGCUAACGCGUUAAGUGUGCCGCCUGAGGACUACGGCCGCAAGGCUAAAACUCAAAGGAAUUGACGGGGGCCCGCACAAGCGGUGGAGCAUGUGGCUUAAUUCGAUGCAACGCGAAGAACCUUACCUGGCCUUGACAUGCACUAGACCGACGCUGAAAGGCGUCUUCCCUUCGGGGCUGGUGCACAGGUGCUGCAUGGCUGUCGUCAGCUCGUGUCGUGAGAUGUUGCGUUAAGUCGCGCAACGAGCGCAACCCCUGUCCUUAGUUGCCAUCAUUAAGUUGGGCACUCUAAGGAGACAAACCCUCUCUGAGGGUGGGAAGGUGGGGAUGACGUCAAGUCAGGAUGGCCCUUACGGCCAGGGCUGCACACGUGCUACAAUGCCCGAUACAGAGGGAUGCAAUGCCGCGAGGCAAAGCGAAUCUCAAAAAUCGGGCCCAGUUCAGAUUGCAGUCUGCAACUCGACUGCAUGAAGUUGGAAUCGCUAGUAAUGGCGCAUCAGCUACGGCGCCGUGAAUACGUUCCCGGGCCUUGUACACACCGCCCGUCACAUCAUGAAAGCCGGUUUCGCCCGAAGUGCGUUAGCCAACCAGCAAUGGAGGCGGCGCCCUAAGGUGAAGCUGGUGAUUGGGAUGAAGUCGUAACAAGGUAACCGUA
rnacentral:rRNA from 1 species